UACGAAGGGGGCUAGCGUUGCUCGGAAUCACUGGGCGUAAAGGGUGCGUAGGCGGGUCUUUAAGUCAGGGGUGAAAUCCUGGAGCUCAACUCCAGAACUGCCUUUGAUACUGAAGAUCUUGAGUUCGGGAGAGGUGAGUGGAACUGCGAGUGUAGAGGUGAAAUUCGUAGAUAUUCGCAAGAACACCAGUGGCGAAGGCGGCUCACUGGCCCGAUACUGACGCUGAGGCACGAAAGCUAGGGUAGCAAACAGG
rnacentral:rRNA from 1 species